rnacentral:rRNA from 1 species
CCUACGGGAGGCAGCAGUGAGGAAUAUUGGUCAAUGGCCGAGAGGCUGAACCAGCCAAGUCGCGUGAGGGAAGACGGCCCUACGGGUUGUAAACCUCUUUUGUCGGGGAGCAAAGCGAACCACAUGUGGGUCAUUGAGAGUACCCGAAGAAAAAGCAUCGGCUAACUCCGUGCCAGCAGCCGCGGUAAUACGGAGGAUGCGAGCGGUAUCCGGAUUUAUUGGGUUUAAAGGGUGCGCAGGCGGAGGUGCAAGUCAGCGGUCAAAUUGCGGGGCUCAACCCCUUACUGCCGUUGAAACUGCCGCCCUUGAGUGCGCGAGACGUAUGCGGAAUUCGUGGUGUAGCUGUGCACUGCAUAGAUAUCACGCAGACCUCCGAUUGCGAAGGCAGCAUACCGGCGCGCAACUGACGCUCAUGCACGAAAGCGUGUGUAUCGAACAGGAUUAGAUACCCCUGUAGUC